rnacentral:rRNA from 1 species
AUGCCAAUGGCAAUGCCAAUGGCACUGCCCGGUAGCUAAAUGCGGAAGAGAUAAGUGCUGAAAGCAUCUAAGCACGAAACUUGCCCCGAGAUGAGUUCUCCCUGAGACUUAGAGUCUCCUGAAGGAACGUUGAAGACGACGACGUUGAUAGGCCGGGUGUGUAAGCGCAGCGAUGCGUUGAGCUAACCGGUACUAAUGAACCGUGAGGCUUAACCUU